GCCCAUCUCCCCUUCCUGCACCCAGUGGGAGGGAACAGGGCUCUUGGUGAUGGAGGUGCUGGCAGGAGGGGCUGCUGCAGCCACCUGGAGGGUAUGUGCCAAUGCUCACACCUCUAUGGUCUCUCCAGAUGAAAAAGGACAGCAGCAGGGCUGAGCAGUACCUUCUUCAGAGCCUGAAGUACCUGAAGGACCCUCAGGAAUGCGUGCGAGACUCGACUAUCAGGUUCAUUGGGACCAUCAUGCGGCAUGUCAAGGACCAAAGCACGGAGGUGCCUGCUCUGAUUGUCAGAGAACUUCAGGCCUUGGAGAAAGGUGGCUGUGAAUUCAUCUGUUGCCUGGCAGCUCAGACCAGCUUGAUCCUGAGCAGGCUGAGGGAGCAGCAAUCACCAGCAGGGUCCCGAUGCUCUCUGUGGUGCUGGCACCGCUGAGCUGGGGGCCUCUUGUGUCCAGAGUGGCACAUUCAGGCCAGACUGAUCAGGAACACCCUCCCGCUGAUUCACAAGGUGCAGAAAGGACUCCUGACUUCCUGAGGUUCUUCUCAGAGAAGGCUCUGCGUGUGGUUGGAUCCAGGCUUGGUCAGCACUUCGUCAUACAUCAUUGAACCUGGACAUCACUUUGUUCUGAGGAUUAUGGUUGGCAAACCAACUAUAGCUGUACAUAGUUUAUUUGUAAAUAAAGUUAGU